GAUGAACGCUAGCUACAGGCUUAACACAUGCAAGUCGAGGGGCAGCAUGAUUGAAGCUUGCUUCAAUCGAUGGCGACCGGCGCACGGGUGAGUAACACGUAUCCAACCUGCCGAUAACUCGGGGAUAGCCUUUCGAAAGAAAGAUUAAUACCCGAUAGUAUAGUAUUUCCGCAUGGUUUCACUAUUAAAGAACUUCGGUUAUCGAUGGGGAUGCGUUCCAUUAGAUAGUUGGCGGGGUAACGGCCCACCAAGUCAACGAUGGAUAGGGGUUCUGAGAGGAAGGUCCCCCACAUUGGAACUGAGACACAGUCCAAACUCCUACGGGAGGCAGCAGUGAGGAAUAUUGGUCAAUGGACGAGAGUCUGAACCAGCCAAGUAGCGUGAAGGAUGACUGCCCUAGGGGUUGUAAACUUCUUUUAUACGGGAAUAAAGUGGAGUAUGCAUACUCCUUUGUAUGUACCGUAUGAAUAAGGAUCGGCUAACUCCGUG
rnacentral:rRNA from 1 species